rnacentral:rRNA from 1 species
GAUGAACGCUGGCGGCGGGCCUAAUACAUGCAAGUCGAGCGAACGGACGAGAAGCUUGCUUCUCUGAUGUUAGCGGCGGACGGGUGAGUAACACGUGGAUAACCUACCUAUAAGACUGGGAUAACUUCGGGAAACCGGAGCUAAUACCGGAUAAUAUUUUGAACCGCAUGGUUCAAAAGUGAAAGACGGUCUUGCUGUCACUUAUAGAUGGAUCCGCGCUGCAUUAGCUAGUUGGUAAGGUAACGGCUUACCAAGGCAACGAUGCAUAGCCGACCUGAGAGGGUGAUCGGCCACACUGGAACUGAGACACGGUCCAGACUCCUACGGGAGGCAGCAGUAGGGAAUCUUCCGCAAUGGGCGAAAGCCUGACGGAGCAACGCCGCGUGAGUGAUGAAGGUCUUCGGAUCGUAAAACUCUGUUAUUAGGGAAGAACAUAUGUGUAAGUAACUGUGCACAUCUUGACGGUACCUAAUCAGAAAGCCACGGCUAACUACGUGCCAGCAGCCGCGGUAAUACGUAGGUGGCAAGCGUUAUCCGGAAUUAUUGGGCGUAAAGCGCGCGUAGGCGGUUUUUUAAGUCUGAUGUGAAAGCCCACGGCUCAACCGUGGAGGGUCAUUGGAAACUGGAAAACUUGAGUGCAGAAGAGGAAAGUGGAAUUCCAUGUGUAGCGGUGAAAUGCGCAGAGAUAUGGAGGAACACCAGUGGCGAAGGCGACUUUCUGGUCUGUAACUGACGCUGAUGUGCGAAAGCGUGGGGAUCAAACAGGAUUAGAUACCCUGGUAGUCCACGCCGUAAACGAUGAGUGCUAAGUGUUAGGGGGUUUCCGCCCCUUAGUGCUGCAGCUAACGCAUUAAGCACUCCGCCUGGGGAGUACGACCGCAAGGUUGAAACUCAAAGGAAUUGACGGGGACCCGCACAAGCGGUGGAGCAUGUGGUUUAAUUCGAAGCAACGCGAAGAACCUUACCAAAUCUUGACAUCCUUUGACAACUCUAGAGAUAGAGCCUUCCCCUUCGGGGGACAAAGUGACAGGUGGUGCAUGGUUGUCGUCAGCUCGUGUCGUGAGAUGUUGGGUUAAGUCCCGCAACGAGCGCAACCCUUAAGCUUAGUUGCCAUCAUUAAGUUGGGCACUCUAAGUUGACUGCCGGUGACAAACCGGAGGAAGGUGGGGAUGACGUCAAAUCAUCAUGCCCCUUAUGAUUUGGGCUACACACGUGCUACAAUGGACAAUACAAAGGGCAGCGAAACCGCGAGGUCAAGCAAAUCCCAUAAAGUUGUUCUCAGUUCGGAUUGUAGUCUGCAACUCGACUACAUGAAGCUGGAAUCGCUAGUAAUCGUAGAUCAGCAUGCUACGGUGAAUACGUUCCCGGGUCU